UUUAUAAUAGAAAAAAUACCACAAUUUAGCUAACUAAACUCAAAAUUCAUCUACAUCAAUCUAUUUAAAAUUGUGUAAAAAAUAAAAAUGCACAAUUAAUAUAGUGACCGGUGUAAAUUUAGACUAUGAAUAUCGGAGUUAACGGAAAACUUUUAUUUAUUAUUUUAAAUAAACUGGACUAGAUGCAAGGGAGUGUAUUUCAAAGCCCUGCUUCUUCGAGGGCUUUUCACAGGCGCUCUUUUACACCAACGCAGAAAGAGAAUAUGACGAAUGAACAGCACUCAUCAUCGCCGCGGCCAUGGCUUCUCGACGCAGUGCCUUUCGUGGUGGUUCUCCUGAUAGCAGCCCACGUCCUCGCUUUGGUCUACUGGAUUUACAGAUUAGCCACCGAGAAACAGCCUCAGAGGAGAAAGGCACACUGAAAACUAACACUCCAAAGUCUAAUUUCAUUCAGCAAAAUUGGCAAAGGUUUUGGUUAAACCCUAAUUCGUCGAUUGUGAUGCAAGAAAAAAAAUUAUGUAAUUAGUUUUGGUUAAUAGAACUAUUUGUUAAUGUUAAUGUUUUUAAUUGUUAUUGCAAUGUAAUUUACUUCAUUGAUUCGUGUCUUUAUACGGUUUAAGCAAGUUGAUGUGAUAGUAGUGAUACAUUUGAUUUGAGUGUUGUAUCAUAGUUGCUGAGUUUUCAGAGGUUUUGAUUUA